GGAUGAGGCCGGCGCAGCCUAUGGUUAAGCCAUUCCAGCUCUUGCCAAAGCUGUGCAAUAGCUCAAGUGUUUUGCUAUAAUAUAAAAAAAGGUAACUUAUACGGAUGCAAAGUUUUUAGAAUUAAUUUCACUUUGCAUCUCUAAAUUUAUAUCAUCUUUUUAAUUUGCAUUUUAGACUUCGAUUUUGAACACUUUGCAUUGUAAACUCUUAAUUUUACAUACUUUAUACCGUAAAUUCUCCGAUUUAUCCCAUUUAAAUCCAAUCAAUGAUUACAUUUUUCAAAAUUAAUGAGAUAAAGAACAGUAAAAAUUAAUGACAAUGAACCAUUUUGUUCCAACUACGAUCCCUUAAUUUUUUGACCAUUUUUAGCACAUUAUCCUUCAUUUAAAUGGUCUCAAUUACUAAUAGAUUAUUGACAUUUUUUUAAUAUUAUAACUAAUCCACUAUGAUGGAUUUUAAACUAACUGAUUAAAAAGAACAUAAAUUAUUAGAUCGAUGAACAGCACUAACCAAUCAUUUGAUCAAGCUCACAAGUCACAACUGUGAUAUUUUGAACAAAUUAAGAACUCACUGAUUAUUUCUGGUCUUAAUGCUUCACCACUAUACUAAAGCUUCAUUUACAAAGAUUUAUUGUAUGUUUUGGUGCUUCAUAAUACAUAGCCUUGUAGAAAUUCAUUUGUUCAAAAAAAGGUAAAGGAAAAAAGGGUUAAUUAGAAGCUAGUUAUCCCUUGCCAAUCCGUUAAUUUCUGUCACAAAGAAUGAAAAAUUAGAUAUCCAAAUGGUAACGAUCAGAUAAAAAAUCGGCAAACAUUUUUGAGUUUACUUCCAUGAACGGCCUCAGAUAGGUUUAUUCGUUAUUAUCUGGAAUAGUGCCAAAAACAGGAAAAACAAAGUCCAACUAUUACAUGAAGGAUAUAUCGACGAAUCUGCAGAAAUCAAAAGCCAAGCCAGGGCAACGAUUAAGAAAAUCUUGAAAAAAAAAAACUUCAGCUUUUAUUGGCUCCUGGCUGAGCCAUGAGCUCCGUGAUUAAUCAAAUCAAUCAAGAAUAAUCUUGAUUCCACCAAUGGUCACAGCAUCAAAUCCAACUCGUGGAACCAAAGUCACCAUCACAUGUUCAUCAUCUUCAGCAUCCAAAUCUUCCAAAAUCUCAGUCAAUGACAGAUUCAGAUGAGUCUUGAUCUUCUUCCCAUGCUUAUGCUUAUGAGGAACAUUCACAAAGCUUCCAGCAAACUCGGUAUUCUCCGGCGUGCUCUUCGGAUCAUCUUCAUCAUUAAUGUAUAUGUCAAACUUGGCAAAUGCAUCUCUCUCCACUUCAAUCUUUUCAAUCACCAAAAUUUCUUCCUUUUCGUCUUUCUCCUUCUUGCUUCUCUUCUUCUUCGGCCUCUUAACCAUGACUUUGAUUAUCUUGUCCAGCUUUGCUGGGAAGAUAUCUCUAGGUGAAUGGCUAUGGUCAGCAGCAUUUGCCACCACAAGUUUCUUGACUUUCCUCGCUACCUUUGUCAG
rnacentral:lncRNA from 1 species